AUAGCACUUCAGCAAACCACUACCCCUCCUAAAAUAUCCAUAUUGAUUGAAGAGCAAAUACAUUCGGCAUUGUGUGUCCUAAUCCUUCUGAAAUGGGAUUUUCUCACCAUUAAAUGUCUUUCCCAACUGCAUGUAUUAAAAAUGUGAUGCUGAAAUUCUGCUCCAAGGAAACUCAAGGGAGAAAAGAGCCAAUGUCAGUCAUCCUAAAUAGUGGGAUGUGUCUGAGCAUAUGGAGGCUGUAAAUACACAUGGAAUGGGAUUGCCUUCUGCAAAAUGAUGCAGUUUUGAGCAGCACUUUGUUGCCCUCAAAACUGGGCUCUCUCUUCCUUCGCAAACAAUCCCAUUGAGAUCUGGGGUUCAAGCUGCCAUCAGAAGAAUUCUCUGCCUCUGGAUACUUCUCCCUGGCCAGAGACAGGUGAUUGUGCCAUGAAAUCACUGGGUGCCAGAAGGCCUGCAGACCAUGUUGGAGGAGCCUCUCACUUGCCUGCUGCAUCACUGAAUAUUUCCUGAGUGUCAAGAAAGACGAUGCUGGGAAUAGUCCCUCCUUGCCCAGAUCUCUUAAAAGCCAGAGAGCUCAUAGCAUCCUGUCUCCUCCAGAAGCUCUUCCCCAGCUGAAAUGUAAAUGAAGGGCUAUUAGUCUGCUCCUCAACCACCCACCUCCAUGGUCCCUGACAGUGUGAAUGAGCUCCUCACAGCCAGGAUUUUUUUCUCCAGUGAAAAGUAGCAAUUUCUCCUACACUGAAAAUUUCCUUAAUAAAAAAAUUCAU